CUGCAGCCAAUUAAGCCGACUGAGUUCCUUUCCUCAUGGGGGCCCAGUGUGCAAUGGCUGUAAACAGCAGCUUCCCUGGUAGUGAUGCAGCCUGUUUGUUGUAUGGGUUGCUCUAAGGGACCUUGGAGACAGUC
ensembl:snoRNA SNORA70 Small nucleolar RNA SNORA70